rnacentral:piRNA from 1 species
UAUGUUUCCUACAGCGAUGAA